UUGGAAGUGAAUGACGUGUUUUUGAGUAACUAUUUGUUUGUGAGAAAGUAAAAAAAUGGAAACGGUAUUAAAAGACUUGGGAGGCGAUUCUUUCUCUGUUUUCUGAGGAAAAUGCAGCUGAAACUUAAAAGAUUUGACUGGAAGCAGAGUUUUCGAAGUGUGGCAGAACAAAAUUGAGAACGUCUUUGAGAUCCAGCUUCCGCAAACCACUUUUCGCACUUGUUAAAAGCGAAAGUAAGGGAAUAAAACUGCUCAAAUCUUUGGAAAGCCACGCUGAAG